UACGGAGGGGGCUAGCGUUGUUCGGAAUUACUGGGCGUAAAGCGCACGUAGGCGGACCAGUUAGUUGGGGGUGAAAUCCCGGGGCUCAACCCCGGAACUGCCUCCAAAACUGCUGGUCUGGAGGUCGAGAGAGGUGAGUGGAAUUCCCGGUGUAGCGGUGAAAUGUGUAGAGAUCGGGAGGAACACCAGUGGCGAAAGCGCUUGACUGGGCCGUAACUGACGCUGAGGAACGAAAGCCAGGGGAGCGAAAGGG
rnacentral:rRNA from 1 species